rnacentral:rRNA from 1 species
AGUGACAGUGUACCUUUUGCAUAAUGGGUCAGCGACUAAAUGAAACAAGUAUGCGUAAGCAGUGAUGUGGACGCAGAGCAAAAGCAAGUCGACAAUGGCAUGAUAUUUGGUUCAUUUGACCCGAAACUAAGUGAUCUUAUCUUGAACAGGUUGAAGAAAGCGUAAUGUCUUUUGGAGGACCGAACCGACGUCUGUAGCAAUAGACGCGGAUGAUUUGAGAUAAGGGGUGAAAGGCCAAUCAAACUUAGAAAUAGCUGGUUCUUCGCGAAAUUUAUUGAGGUAAAGCGUCUAUUAAAUCUUUCUGGGGGUAGAGCACUUAUUGAGCUAUGGGGGUCCAAAACCUUACUGCUCUCAAGAAAACUCCGAAUACCAGUAAAGUAUAAUAGGCAGACAGACAAGCAGUGCUAAGGUUGCUUGUCGAAAGGGAAACAGCCCAGCCUGGCCGCUAAGGUCCCAAAGCAUUCUGUGAGUGGGAAAAGAUGUGAUACAACUAUGACAACUAGGAGGUUGGCUUGGAAGCAGCCAUUCUAUCAUGAAAGCGUAAUAGCUCACUAGUCGAGUUGUCUUGCGCUGAAAAUGUAUCGGGGCUGAACAGAAUCACCGAAGCGCCAGUUUUUAGGUAGCGAAGCGUUUUGUGCGCCAAUGAACACAUAUCGUAAGAUGUGUGGAAGGUCUCAAAAGUGACUAUGCUGACAUGAGUAACGAAAAAUCAUGUAAAGCCAUGAUCGCCGUAAGUUCAAGGGUUUCUGCUAACUGGGAAUCAGUGCAGAGUUAAGUUCGGUCCCUAAGAGUUUGUAUACACUUAUACGCUCGAUGGAGGACGUUUAUGCAAGACGGCUAUCUAAUACACAAAUACUGCAAAAUGGAUACGGUGUAUGUGUGUCAUAGUCCAGGAAAAAAGCAUUAAUGCAAGACCGUACCCGAAACCGACACAGGUGAACGAGUCGAGUAGACUCAGGCGUUGAGUGAACCAUAUUGAAGGAACUCGGCAAAAUAUUCCCGUACCUUAGGAAGAAGGGAUACCGAAAGGUGACACAAAAAUGGGGGUGACGACUUUUUACUAAAAAAUUAGGACUCUGCAAAAUGGUAACAUGAAGUAUAGGGUCUGACGUCUGCCCGGUGCUAGAAGUAUAAAAGGAGUGUUGAAAGAUACGAAUGGAAAGCCUAGUAAACGGCGGUUGUAACUAUAACAAUCAUAAAGUAGCGAAAUUCAUUGCCAGCUAAUUCCUGGCCUGCAUGAAAGACGUAACGAUUGCCCCACUGUCUCCAGUAUGGACUCAGUGAAAUUGAAUUCUCCGUGCAGAUGCGGAGUACGUGCCCCAAGACGAGAAGACCCUGUGCAUCUUUACUGUACAUUUGCAUUGACAAAACGAUGAGCAUGCGUAGGAUAGGUGGGAGUACAUACAUCCUUGAAAUACCACCCUUGCCAUGGAUUUUGUCUUACACCAAAUUUGGUGCACAAUGCAUGUGAGGCAGUUUGACUGGGGCGGUCGCCUCCUAAAAGGUAACGGAGGCGUGCGAAGGUAAACUCAAUGCAAGACGGAAACUUGCUGAAGAGCGUAAUGGUAUAUGUUUGCCUGACUGUAAGAUGUACACAUCAAACAGAGACGAAAGUCGGCCAUAAUGAUCCACAAGUGCCGUGUGGAAGGGCUUGUGCUUAACGAAUCAAAGAUACGCCAGGGAUAACAGGCUGAUAAUUCCCAAGAGUCCUUAU